CUGAAGCAGGAAGACUGCCUUGACUUCCAGGCUGACCUGGGCAACAAAGUGAAACCUUGUCUCAUUGGAAAAUUUUGUUUCCAAUUUUAUUCAUUGGCUGUGGUUUGCUGCAGGCUUUGUGGAGGAUUCCCUUGAGAUACUUACUGGUCCUAGCAUGGAAUCCUAUACCCCAAGGAAAGAUUUCGUGUCAGAUAUCUGAUGAUCUCCUAGAGCCAUUUUUUAAUUAAUUUAUCGACUGCAUUAAUAACAUGCACCUGUGCUUGUGUGCCACAGCACUCUACAGAGAAAAGAGGACAGCCUGUGGGAGUUGUUCUGUCCACCACCAUACGGGUCCUAGGGAUGGAACUUCGGUGAUCAGGUUUUGAGGCCUGACAACCUCAUUUACCUGCUGAGUCACCUUACCAGCAUUCUUGGAAUCAUAAUCAUAAAAAGAAUACAUCUGUUAGGGACCCAGUUUCCUUCUCCUGCAGCCGCUUGGGUCCAGCGAGAAAAGCAGCUUCUCACUGUAGCAAGGUUUUCAGAAUUUUGAGACGUUUAAUGGAGGAGACAGGUGGGAGAGGGAGCAGUUUGAUGUCAGCCUGCCAACACACAAGGCCCAGCAGAGCAUCUCUUUGGCCUAUUAUCUUUGGUUCAGAGAGGAAAUUUGAUACAAAGGUCUGUUCCACUGGAUCUCAAAUAUUUCCGGAAGGUCCACUUGUUAAAGGCUUGAUCUUCAAGACUGCAAUAUAGCAGAGGUUCUCAACCUGUGGGUCUCAACCCCUCAAGGGCUGAAUGGCCCUUUCACACGAUCACCUAAGACCAUCAGAAAACACAGAUAUUUACAUCAUGAUUCAUAACAGUAACGAAAUUAGUUACGAAGUAGUGAUGAAAAUAAUUUUACGGUUGGAGAGUCACAACCCAAGGAACUGUACUAAAGAGUCGAAGCAUUAGGAAGGUUGAGAAUUCCAACAACUUAGGAAGGUGGGGUUUGUCCUAGAAGGGAUUUGUAGGGUCUCAGUCCCCACCUCAUUCUCUCUUCUGCCUUGAGAUGAGUGCCUUAUUGUAGCAUCCUCCUAUCUAUGUGCUGUUUCACCAUAGAUACAAAGCCAUGGGGUCACCCCAUCAUGGACCAAAACUUCCAAACCUGUGAGCCUUUUUCCUUUAUAAGUUGAUUAUUUUAGAGAUUUGUUUAGAGAGACAGAAAGCUGAUUAACAAAAUAGGAAAACAGGGCUUUCCCUGUAGCAGUUUUAUUACCAUCUAGUUCACACAUAUGUAAUUCACAUGUUGUUUUCUACAUGGUUUUAGCAGAGGUGCAGCUAUGCAGCCACCACUGCAGUCUUAGAACCUUCAUCACACCCAAAAGAAAUCCUGAACCCUUGACUGGUUACUCAUUUCCCACUCAAGCCUCCCAGCUGCCGGACUCGUCUAAUCUCUUCUCUUUUUAUAGAUUUGACAACUCUGGACAUUUCCCAAGGAUAGAAUCACACAAUUUGUUCUUUUCAGACAGGCUUCUUUCGAUGAGCAGGUUUUUGUUUGUUUGUUUUUUCCAUGAGACAGGGUUUCUCUGUGUAGCCCUGGCUGUCCUGGAACUCACUUUGUAGACCAGGCUGGCCUUGAACUCAGAAAUCCGCCUCCUGAGUGCUGGGAUUAAAGGCGUGCGCCACCACGCCCGGCUUGUUGAGCAGGUUUUAAAAGUUCAUCCACAUUGUGGUGUUCAUCAGUAAAUUUCUUUAUUUCUUUUUUGGAUGAUUCCAUUCCAUAGAUAAAUUAGUUUUUGUUGUUGUUGUUUUGAGUCAGGGUCUCAUUAUGUAGACCAGGUUAUCCUAAAACUCAGAGAUCUGUCUGCCUCUGCUUCCUACCUGCCAGUACUGGGAAGGUGUGUACCACCACACCCAGUGUUGUUGAUUUUUAAUUAAGCAUAUGUGUGAGGGUAGUGCAAGAGUCCCGACACCUUUGAGGCCACAAGAGUGUGUCAAUGUCCUUGGAACUGUAGUUACAGACAUUUGUGAAUUGAUAAGGAUACAGGGAGACUCUGAUUAUCUUGAGAACACUAUCUACUCUUAGCCCUGGCCCCUUUUGUUGCUGGAGAGGGGCUCAGGAGGCUUAGCUAACUGUAAACUUACUGCGAAGGUGGGCCUUGAGCUUCUGAUACUUGUCAAGUGCUAGGAUUACAGGUAUAUGCCAGCACACCUGGCUAAGAUACACCAUGUUGUCAUGCUUGUUUAUAUUCUAAAGCUAAAUCUAUUGAAAAGCUACAUAUACAGCUAUAGAGAAAAACCAUUCACUAUGCUACUAUCUAGAGGUAGUCACCAUUAACACGUGUACCUUUUGUUCUCGGUUAAUCUAUGCAUGUAUACUUGGUAAAUGAAAUUUUACUUUGUGCCCUUCA